AACGACUCUCGGCAACGGAUAUCUCGGCUCUCGCAUCRAURAARAACGUASCGAAAUGCGAUACUUGGUGUGAAUUGCARAAUCCCGUGAACCAUCGAGUCUUUGAACGCAAGUUGCGCCCGAAGCCAAUUUAGGCCGAGGGCACGUCUGGCUGGGUGUCACGCAACG
rnacentral:rRNA from 1 species